UGCCUCAGUAACGGCGAGUGAAGCGGCAAGAGCUCAAAUUUGAAAUCUGGCCCCCUCGGGGUCCGAGUUGUAAUUUGCAGAGGAUGCUUCGGGUGCGGCCCCCGUCUAAGUGCCCUGGAACGGGCCGUCAUAGAGGGUGAGAAUCCCGUCUGGGACGGGGUGUCCGCGUCCGUGUGAAGCUCCUUCGACGAGUCGAGUUGUUUGGGAAUGCAGCUCUAAAUGGGUGGUAAAUUUCAUCUAAAGCUAAAUACUGGCCGGAGACCGAUAGCGCACAAGUAGAGUGAUCGAAAGAUGAAAAGCACUUUGAAAAGAGAGUUAAAAAGCACGUGAAAUUGUUGAAAGGGAAGCGCUUGCGACCAGACUCGCCCGCGGGGUUCAGCCGGCAUUCGUGCCGGUGUACUUCCCCGCGGGCGGGCCAGCGUCGGUUUGGGCGGCCGGUCAAAGGCCCCCGGAAUGUAGCACCCUUCGGGGUGCCUUAUAGCCGGGGGUGCAAUGCGGCCAGCCUGGACCGAGGAACGCGCUUCGGCACGGACGCUGGCAUAAUGGUCGUAAACGACCCGUCUUGAAACACGGACCAAGGAGUCUAACAUCUACGCGAGUGUUCGGGUGUCAAACCCGUGCGCGCAGUGAAAGCGAACGGAGGUGGGAGCCCCCCCCGCGGGGCGCACCAUCGACCGAUCCUGAUGUCUUCGGAUGGAUUUGAGUAAGAGCGUAAAUGUGGGGACCCGAAAGAUGGUGAACUAUGCCUGAAUAGGGCGAAGCCAGAGGAAACUCUGGUGGAGGCUCGCAGCGGUUCUGACGUGCAAAUCGAUCGUCAAAUUUGGGUAUAGGGGCGAAAGACUAAUCGAACCAUCUGGUAGCUGGUUCCUGCCGAAGUUUCCCUCAGGAUAGCAGUAGCGCGGAUCAGUUUUAUGAGGUAAAGCGAAUGAUUAGAGGCAUUGGGGUUGAAACAACCUUAACCUAUUCUCAAACUUUAAAUAUGUAAGAAGCCCUUGUUGCUUAGUUGAACGUGGGCAUUAGAAUGAAGCGCUAUUAGUGGGCCAUUUUUGGUAAGCAGAACUGGCGAUGCGGGAUGAACCGAACGCGAGGUUAAGGUGCCGGAAUGCACGCUCAUCAGACACCACAAAAGGUGUUAGUUCAUCUAGACAGCCCGACGGUGGCCAUGGAAGUCGGAAUCCGCUAAGGAG
rnacentral:rRNA from 1 species